CCUGACCCAUUGACUGGGGCCAGAGCUCCUGUGAACUUCAAAGACUGGGACUGUGUCCCCCUCCCCUGGGACAGCGGUUGAGAGGCACCUGGCUGGUCUUCGCAUAGGCUGCUUCUGCUGUGUCAACAGACACAGGGAGCUUGUGCCUGGAGGAGAGGAUGGCUAGCGAAGGAAUCAUUCUUCUGCUAAAAACUCCCCGUGCUCCGCCAGGGGCACAAGAAGCUGGGAGGGGACACAGACGGGACAGCUGACCCAAACUGACCAAAGGGAUAUUCCACACCAUGUGGUGUCAUGCUCAUCAAUAAAAGCUGGAGGAAGAAGACGGCAGUGGGAGAUGUUCAGAGAGAUGGCAUUUGUCUUCCCAAGUAACCGUUACUUGUGAUGGAGCCCUGCUUUCCUGGAGAUGGCUGAACACCUGCCUGCCCAUGGGAAGGAGUGAAUGAAUCCCUUGUUUCGCUUUGCUUGUGUGUCCGGCUUUUGCUUUACCUAUUAAACUGUCGUUAUCUCAACCCACAAGUUUUCUCACUUUUACUCUUCUGAUUCUCUCUCCCAUCCCACUGGGGGGAGUGAGCAAGCGGCUGCAUGGGGCUGAGUUGCCA